CUUAUUGGCUUCCCUUCUCUCUCUCUCUUCCCGUAACAAUCAAUCCCAAUUGGGGGCCAUUUAAAAUGUGCUUUACAUAGAGAAGAAGCUGUCGCAUCUUUUUUUGAUUUCUCAACAUUUUCUUGUAGAAAGUGUCGUGGUGGGCACAUCAACAAAGACGACAAAAAUAACAA